rnacentral:lncRNA from 1 species
AGGGCUUCAAUGAGGUGCUGCGGCAGUGCAGGAUUGCAAAUGGUAGGUGACUUGUCCAUCUGCUCGGGGCGGUAGGCCUGAAUCCUAUUCAGUUUUGGAGUUGAGUCCUCCAGUAGGACCUUUUGAGGCGGGGUUUCUCUAUAUCAUUCACUGUUCUAGAACUCACUCUGUAGACCCUGUUGGCCUCCAGAGAUGUGUCUGCCCCUGUCUCUAGAGUGCUGGGAUUAAAGGCGUGCAGGGCAGGUCGCUGCCCUGCCUUAUUAGUAGGGCUCUUUAUUCACAGUGCAAUGCUUGUGUUCAUUUCCCACCUUCAGGUAGAGCACUGGUUCUCAACCUUAGUUCCUCAUGCUGUAGUGACCUCAACCACAAAAUUACUUUGUUGCUAUUUCAUAACUGUAAUUUUGAUACUAUUAUGAACUGUAGCAUAAAUAUGCAGGAUAUCUGAUAUGAUUCUUCUGAAAGGGGUGGAGACCCUUAGGGUAAAAAUAGCUAAAUUAGAUGGAAGGGAGGUGGGAGGUGCGUUAGUGUUUAGGAGUGGAAUUAAGAGGUACUUGUCUUAGCCAUGCGGAGGUUGUGUUUUUAAUCCAGCACUCAGGAGACCCUGUCUCAAAAAACUAAAGAAGAAAAAGAGAGGAACAGAUGCUGUUUUAAAAAAGCAUCCGUGAACCCUGAUGAAGUUCUCUGCCUGAUUGAACUGAUCAGACACUUCAGUGGCCGCUUCAGCCACACCCUUCCCACAACAGGGAAGACAGAGACCCAAGGCCAGUCCCCAGCUUGGGAACUCCAGACAGAAUGCUUUGGAUGUCUGGAGGAACUGCUAAGAAAUAGCUCUUUCUGGGACAGGGUUAUUGGGUAGAAGACAGGCAAGGAGGGAGACAGUGUUGAGUUGGGAGCCGUCACAGUGAUCAGUAAGGAGCUCAUCCUCUGACUUCAGAUCAGCGUCUCAGCUUGUCCUACAGUGGUGAAGCUUACCCGGGCGCAGGCUUAAGGGGCUGCUGACAGCAAAGCGCAGCCUGUUCAUGUGUCCAAGGCAAGCAGUCAGCAGUGGGGCUGACAAAGUUGACCUUGUCCAUCCGUCGGGGAGCCAUUGUGUCCCAGUGGAGGGUCCCUUAGCACCACUUCACUCUACAUUGUCAUGCUCCAGGAUGAAACCCUUCCCUUAGCCUCUGACAGGGCUAGUAAUCAAAUUAAAAAGAGAGA